UAAAAGGUAUAUUAUUACUAUAUGAUUACACAGGCAUAUUGUGUAUGAGUUAAUAUCCUUAUAUUGUAUUUAUUGGUUGAUUUAUUUUCUUUAAUUACCCCCCCCCCCCCCAAAAAAAAAAAAAAAACUGACCAGCUUGACCCAGUGGAGGGAACAACGGGGUAAAAAUUUGGCAAAUGAGACAAGUAGUCCAGCUGCCUAGAGGUAGAAAAAGUCAUAGCAGUAUAUACCAACCCUGGAAAGAUAUGGUAAACGUUAGAUGAUGGUUGAUGGUUCACUUCACGCAAAGUUGCAAACCUCUCUUCUCAGAGAAAAAGGAAAGUUCAUUCAAACAAUACAGGACAAACAACAAGGAAUAAAGAAGCAAUUCAUGUAUUGUAGUGCCAUAGCUGUAUAGAACCUUGCGUUUUAUUUCUUUCUUUGACGCCCUUUUCAUUUUCUUGAAGAUGGGUUUUCAAACUACAUGAUGUCUGGAUUCUCCAUGACAAUUGACAAGAGAGUGAGUGAAUCAUUUCUUUGUUUAUCCUUUGUCCCUUCUUUUUUCCCCAUUUUUUAUUCAGAGUGAGUUAGUUUCAUGACUUGUAACUUUGGGGAAACCUUCUUUGUUUGGUAAUAGAGAAACAGUCUCAUGAAUUUCGAUCCUUAAGUUGUAUUAGCAAAGUUGUUAACCAGAGCAUAUAUGGUGUACGAAUUAGUGUAUGGGAAGAAGAUAAAGAAGAAGAAAGUUUCGGGCAUUAUCAUGUUUUGUCUGUUUGCGCUUGUAAUAAAAUCUUAAUAAAAUCCAGUUUGACUUCUGAAGGCCAAAAGAAAAAAAACACUAAAUUUGGAUAAAAAAUAGAUACUUCCGAAUCUGGGGCAUGCACUGUUCCGAGGUAUGAAACAGAACAAGGUUCUUCGGAAAAGGUUAAUUCACGUCAAAUCGUGAAUGAUGUCAAGGUUUUUGUGGUACAAAUAAUGAGUUCAAACGUGCAAUCUUCGAUGAAAAAGCACAGCAGUUGCUGGCAUUUUAAGCAAUGCUUUUCCUACGUUCCUGCCUGGCUGAAAAUGCUCCAACUAAUGACCCAAUAGGUUAAUGGUGAGGUCCGAUGUAUUGUUCGAGUAUCAAAUGGCUCAAAUUUUCUCAGUUGACCAGAGCAUUAGACAAUUCGAAACCAAAUUUUGACAAAAUUCAUGAAGAAUUUGUGAGAAAAAUAGUAGACAUAAUGAUAAAGUCUUUGAAAAAUGCAAAGGUGGUGAUAGUUGCAAUUCAUGCAAAGCAUUCUUGAAAAAAAAAAAAAAGAUUCAUGCAUACGAUAGCAGACAAAAGAUAAGCAAUAAAGAAGGAAUUCAUGUUUACCAGUGCUACAGCAGAAACAGGGCCCUCCGCUUGUAACCUUUCCUCUUAUCUUUUUCUUCAACUUCUUCCAUUUCUUUGGCUACUAGCCUCUCGGUUUUGAAAGUUGAAACUAACGGUAUGGCUAGAAUCUCCAUGAC
rnacentral:lncRNA from 1 species